rnacentral:rRNA from 1 species
CGAACGGGUGAGUAAUGCGUGACCAACCUGCCCCCAUGCUCCAGAAUAGCUCUUGGAAACGGGUGGUAAUGCUGGAUGCUCCAACUUGACGCAUGUCUUGUUGGGAAAGUGUUUAGUGGCAUGGGAUGGGGUCGCGUCCUAUCAGCUUGUAGGCGGGGGUAAUGGCCCACCUAGGCUUCGACGGGUAGCCGGCCUGAGAGGGCGGACGGCCACAUUGGGACUGAGAUACGGCCCAGACUCCUACGGGAGGCAGCAGCC